rnacentral:rRNA from 1 species
GAUGAACGCUGGCGGCGUGCCUAAUACAUGCAAGUCGAGCGAACAGACGAGGAUCUUGCUCCUCUGACGUUAGCGGCGGACGGGUGAGUAACACGUGGAUAACCUACCUAUAAGACUGGGAUAACUUCGGGAAACCGGAUCUAAUACCGGAUAAUAUAUUGAACCGCAUGGUUCAUUAGUGAAAGACGGUUUUGCUGUCACUUAUAGAUGUUUCCGCGCCGCAUUAGCUAGUUGGUAAGGUAACGGCUUACCAAGGCAACGAUGCGUAGCCGACCUGAGAGGGUGAUCGGCCACACUGGAACUGAGACACGGUCCAGACUGCUACGGGAGGCAGCAGUAGGGAAUCUUCCGCAAUGGGCGAAAGCCUGACGGAGCAACGCCGCGUGAGUGAUGAAGGUCUUCGGAUCGUAAAACUCUGUUAUUAGGGAAGAACAAAUGUGUAAGUAAAUAUGCACGUCUUGACGGUACCUAAUCAGAAAGCCACGGCUAACUACGUG